GUCUGGAUAGCUCAGCUGGUUAGAGCGUGGUGCUGAUAAUGCCAAGGUUGCAGGUUCGAUCCCUGUAUGGGACA